rnacentral:rRNA from 1 species
CCUACGGGAGGCAGCAGUAGGGAAUAUUGGACAAUGGGCGCAAGCCUGAUCCAGCCAUGCCGCGUGAGUGAAGAAGGCCCUCGGGUUGUAAAGCUCUUUUGUCCGGAAAGAAAAGCGCGGGGUUAAUACCCCCGUGUCCUGACGGUACCGGAAGAAUAAGCACCGGCUAACUUCG